CAGAUGGCAGCCCAAAAAAACGCCUCGCAAAAACCACUCCUAUCGAUCCCAUUGAGGACACAGCGCCGCCGUCGAGCGAUCUCGAGGUCACAGCGCCGCCGUCGUGCGAUCUCGGAACUGACGCAGACGCACGAGAACGCCACCGCUGCCACGCCGGAUCUCGCCUCCACGUUAGAGGAUUGCCGCCACGGUUCUGGAUCGCCGCCGCGAACGUCACGUCAGCGCCGCCGCAUAUCUCCAAGGGCGUGGUCGCGUUGCCGUGAUUGGAGGAGACCGUCUCUGCCUUCCCUAUUUGGAGGACGAACAGAGGUACUUUGAGGCCCAUGUACGUCAAUCCCCGCCUCCGCUUUCCUCCUUUCCCAUCGAGGGCUGCCGUUGCUGCUCCGUCUUUUAUCUCAUGUCUCUCUCUGAAUGGUGGCGAUGGUGGUCGGGGGCUCCGAUGGGGAGGCCCGCAAGGGGGAAACGGAAAGCGGCGGAGGAGCGAAGGCCAUGGCCGAGAAGCAGGUUACGCGCUGCCGCUUGGACAGGAAAGCGGGCGUUCGGAGGUACCUAGGAAUUUCAGAGGGGCUGAGCAGGACGGCCAAGGGCGUCGCCAAGGUCUUCGGCGUCCAGCCGUCCACGCCUUGAGUGUAUCUACAUCGACAUGCCAACCAGCAGUAGCCUGGGCAGCGACAGGGUGGUGCAACUGGACCUGGACCUGGAGGUUGCCCCCUGGGCCCGUCGCCAUCGGUUGAGAUGAAGCAGGUGAAUAAGAAGGGGGUGGCGACGAAGGUGGUGGAGUGGCAUAUGCGAGAGGUGGAGGAGAUCAGCAAUUAAUUCAAGAGGGAGGUUGUUCUCGUCAACGGCUCAGAGGCGGAGCAGGUGGACAAGGCCUCUUGCUCAACAAGAUUGCUGAGAUCUGUUAAUUUUAAUUUUUGGAAUGCUGAAAUCUGUUCAAAUGCGAGGUUUACUAGCUAAAAAAUUGCAGCAGAUAAGGACAAAAACUUGUUGAUUUUGCUCAACAUGGUGCCGCUUGAUCAGUACUCAAUGAAGAUGAACUGACCAUCAUAGCCGGUGAUGAUUACAGGGGAUGUGCUGGCGCCAGUGCUUGUUGCUAACUUGCUAUUCAUAGAAAGGAGUGGAUCUGGCAAUAUUUCAAUCAAUAAAGGUUAUCUUUCCUAUAGCUUUUGUUAUUAGGUACAUGCAGUGUGUGUCACUUCCUUAGAUCAUAUCUGGUUCCUAAAGUUUUAGAUGUUUCAUAUAACCAUCAGGCGCCUUUCAGGAAAAAUAUGACCAUCAGUUACCCCAUAUGGCAGUCCUUGUACAUGUUUCUUUUAUCUGCUUUAAAAAUUUAUUGUGAAGCAAAAUAAAGUUGUAUGUAAGAAUAUCAUAGAUUGUGUUUAUAUAUACAAGGAUCGCUUCAAGUUCCUAACUUUUUUAGUGAAGCAUUAAGUUGAGAAUGUAGAAUGGGGGACCAAAAUACUUCUUAUGUAAGUACCGGAGCAGGAAUUGAAAUUAGUCUACCAUGUGUGUGUGUGUGCGCGCGCGCGCGCAUGUGUGUGUCCACUUAUCUCUGGUCCAGGAUUAGUUGUCCCUAAUGCUUGGUUUUCAUUUUGUACCAGCGUAUAAUUGUUGUUUCUGAAUGUUAUGAAUGAAUGAAACUUCAUCAAAACAGAAUAGCACAGCUACAAGGUCUUACAAGACUUUGUCCUCUUUCAAUGCAAGCUUGCCGGUAAUGUUGUUUCUGAAUGUUUCCAUUCUUCAUUUUUUGGUGAUGUCCCUUUUAAUUAGUGGCAUCAUGAUAUGCACCAUGCAUGGCGCCACCCACUUUACUUCUGGAGUUUGGACUAGUGCGUUUACUAUUUCCUACAGGCCUUCAAAAACAAAUAUGAGCUCCCGACUAUUCCACCCAAUCACAUAUCUCAUAUACUCCCUUGAACGACAUUUGUUUCUCCUAAGCGAAUCUAUUAUUAUUCCCCUUAUACCUCAUGGAAAAAGUAUGGGUUCUUAAUUCUUCUUCUACUCGAUCAUAUUCACCUGCACCUACUCAGUUGAAUGAAAUCAUGUUUCUUCUUCUCAGUGACUCCCUUGCUUUGUGUGCAAGUGGUACACAGGAGUACCCAGGACUAUUCUUAAUGUUAAUGGCUUCAGGCUUGGUUUUGUUAGAACAUAGAUUUUGAACAUAUGGGUCUAGAUAUUGCAUGCUUUAAUAUGCUGGAGGUGUGUAUUUGGAUGGUGUAAGUGCAACUCCGGUUCACCGACCCUGUCAUGAAGGCCGGCAGGAGCACCGCAUGACAACACAUCUAAUGAUUCAGAAAUUAUUCCAGUUGAGACGUUUCAAUUUUUUGCUUGAUUUCAGACGAAAACACAUGUUGUGUAACAUAACUCAUGUAAUGUGUGUAAUAGUAUUAACUGGUAUAUAUUUGUUCUGGUCUCAACAUAUCACCGAUGCAUGCAGCAAAUGAACAAAGUUUAGAACUGCAUAAGAAUUUCUUGAUUUAAGAAGGAAAACUAAAGUGCAUGCAAGAUUACUUCUAGCAAACCUUUUUAGACUCUACUCUACUGAUUUUCUCAAGGCUUUCUAUCAAAGUAAAUGACAUAUUAAGAUUUUGUUCCUUCAUCAUAAUAUUUUCUGUAUAAUAUAUAUUUGUUUAUUUUACCACAGAAGUCUUGCUACGCUAGGCCUGCGUCGCUGCUGUUGAAGAAAAUGGAGUCAUCGUCGAGCCGCUCGAGAAUUGUUGAAGGAGAGAACAAACUACUACACUACCCAGCAACUUAUGCAGAGGUAUGAUCUCGACCCUGCUCGGCCACACCGCUUCAUUGUAUCUGCUUCUCUGAGUCUCUGUCAUCUUCUUCGCCACCAUUUCGGUUAUCCUCCCGGUUUUCUUUGCUGCUCCCCUUCCUUUCUUGUGCCGUCCAUCGAGCUAUCACUCUUGUGACGCCAGCCAUCGAGCCGGGGCAAGAUUUUUUUGUUCGCGGUGUGUCAUGCCUGAAUGAUUGCCUAAUUUAGGUUUAUAGGUAAGAGCUACAACUGAACCAUACUAAUUCUCAGAUCAGAUUUUGGCGUACAAAUAGCUCUCAAUUAUAUAGAAAAUUAAAAAUGGAUGUAGUAGCAUAUGUUCAGGGUGAGCGUAAAAAUUAGACCAAAGGAUGGGAUCCUUCCUAUUCUUUCAUGUUUAGUAGUAUUAUUGUUUUCCGUUGGAGAUGUUGCAUGCUAUCCCAAAGAGAUCAAACCGUCGGUACUGUCAUCUCAUUAGUAAAUGACUUCCUAUGACCACCCUGCACAAUGACAUGAUCAUUGGUGAUUUACGUGAUAGUCUACUUUGAUUGAUGAAAUGAUAUGCCUAAACUUUUGAACAAACAAAUUAGCCACACCUUGGUUGCGCACGCUACUGUGAUGUAAUGGCUGAAUGCUUGCUUAUUUUAGGUACAGUAAGAGCUAAACUGGGACCAUACUAAUUCUAAGAUCAUAUUUGGACAUACAAAUAACUCAGUUAUAUAGAAAACUAGAGGUUAUAUAUUUCAGGUUGAGGGUAAAAAAACACAUGCUCCAAAAAUACAAUGUGUUGCACAAUAAAGUAAAAAAUAUAUCUUAAUAGCAAGGUUAUGUAUACUAAGAAGUGAUUUUCUUUAAUUUGGGUGUUACUUUUGACCAAUACAACCGUAUUAAACUUUAUUGUCCUUCUGGCACAACUAUUUACAUCUCACACAUAAUGUUUACUUCUUAAAUGCCGCGGUUUAUUUGGAAGAGGGGAUGGAGGGAGGGAGAGAGAGAAUGUUGCAUUGCAGUGAGAGAGCCUGAGAGAGAGAGAGAGAGAGAGAGAGAGAGAGAGAGAGAGAGAGAGAGAGAGAGAAAAGAUAAACUGUGUGAGAUGUAAAUCAAUGCAUGGUUAAAGUCUAGAUGGAAAUGGAAGGUGUGAUUGCGAGCUAGAAGCACCAUUGAAAAAUGUGGUGAACUUGGGUUUGGGAGGCGGAGAGGCAAAGGUAAUGGGUGGAGGGAGAGAAGGAAAAGAGUAAUUUAACGGUAAAAUGGACGACAUCCAUUGAUGUACACGAGGAAUCGAAAGAAGAAAAUUUGAGGAAGAGACUAAAAGGUACAUACAUGAGUAGCCUGAUUCUUGUCUUAGAAAGUUGGUUCUUUUAUAUAUACAAGGAUUAGAAAGAGCAUGAGAACUUGCCAAGCCAUCUGGAAAUGCCAUCAGAGAUGAAACAUUUUUUAGGUUGCUGACAGCAUUGAGCUAAACUUGCUUUUGUUGCUACCGCUGGUGAAGACAAACUCCAGAAAAGGGAGUGAAAUAAGAAAGACGAGAGGUUGCACAAGAUGAGUAGUGAUGGGUAGCGGUAGAGGCUUAAACUGUGAUGAUGAUGCGUAUCUAACCAUUAGUAUGUUUCCCAUCAAGGAAACCUACAAUUUCUAUUAUGAUUCAGAGUUUCUAUUCUAAGGUGUGUUUCUCAUAAAGAAUGUGAUUUCUGCAUGAUAGUGUUUUGAGAACGUGAGGGUUUUAUGCAAAGACUGACAUUUAAGAAAGGAUGUAUUAAAAUGUAAACCCUGGUAGAUACUCCUGAAGUCGAAGUUGAUCAGGAAAUAGUAAUUUGUUUUUUCGAGCACUGAACUACCGGUUCCGGUUUUGCUUAAUCUCUACUCUUAAUGGAGGAGUUGGUAGCCUGGUAUGAUUUAUUUUCGUCCGGUUUUUAUUCGUCACCUCCCACCACCCCCACCAACUGGUUUUUCUCCUUUCCAUUGGAAACCCAAAUCUUAUUGAACGAGAUAUCUUGUUUUGUGCUUACUUUGGUAGGUUCUGAUUCAUUCCAAUCACGUAAAUAAAUAGGUAAUUAAGAAUUCCGAACUUACACCAUAUAUUUGAGAUUACCUUCCUAAAAUAUAGACGUAAUAUUUUUCUUGAUAACCUUCCAAAACGAAAUAAGAUAAUUCUCAAUAACAAAUCAUUAAUCAUGCGUACUAUGUUAUUAUUAUUAUCUCCACUAUUAAUUGACUAUCAUAAGUUUCCUAAACAACAAAAGAACAUAUAUUUUACUUGUGGGCGUACGCAUCCGCGCACUCUAUGGAGGACGUCGUGCGCUACACCAUGGAGGAUGUCGUGGCUGAUACUCGAGAAUGCCAAGGCGUGCAUCACGACAUCAAGGAUGGCCAUGGUGGAAGGCAUUUCGUCAUACCACCACGUACAUGUGUUCGUGGACAGUCAUAUUAUAUUUCUUGUCAUUAAUACAGAGACACACAGACUACAUUCUCAAAUUAAGUGUCCAUUUAAAUGUCAAAAUUUCGUUAAGGAAAUGUGUCCUACAAUACUUGGUAGUCGCCGUCAUUCG